rnacentral:rRNA from 1 species
AACGAACGCUGGCGGCGUGCCUAACACAUGCAAGUCGUGCGAGAAAGUUCCUUCGGGAGCGAGUAAAGCGGCGCACGGGUGAGUAACACGUAGGUAACCUGCCCUCCAGUCUGGAACAACUAGAGGAAACUCUAGCUAAUGCCGGAUGAGACCACGAUCCCUUCGGGGGUUGCGGCCAAAGAUGGCCUCUACUUGUAAGCUAUCGCUGAGGGAUGGGCCUGCGGGCCAUUAGCUUGUUGGUGAGGUAACGGCUCACCAAGGCUGUGAUGGCUAGCUGGUCUGAGAGGAUGACCAGCCACACUGGGACUGAGACACGGCCCAGACUCCUACGGGAGGCAGCAGUGGGGAAUAUUGCGCAAUGGGCGAAAGCCUGACGCAGCGACGCCGCGUGGGUGAUGAAGGCCU